UACGUAGGCAGCGAGCGUUGUUCGGAAUACUGGGCGUAAAGCGUGCGCAGGCGGUGAUGUAAGACAGUUGUGAAAUCCCCGGGCUCAACCUGGGAACUGCAUCUGUGACUGCAUCGCUGGAGUGCGGCAGAGGGGGAUGGAAUUCCGCGUGUAGCAGUGAAAUGCGUAGAUAUGCGGAGGAACACCGAUGGCGAAGGCAAUCCCCUGGGCCUGCACUGACGCUCAUGCACGAAAGCGUGGGGAGCAAACAGG
rnacentral:rRNA from 1 species